CACUCCUUUGAACUGUGCUGGUAGCAGUAAGGUGUCAUCAUUUGAGAUGGUCACAGUAUCCAAUACACUGAAGUCACAGGACUCAAAUUUCAUACAUGUUCACAGCUUUCUUGGCCCCGGGAGUGCUCGGUCUCUGAUCAGCAGGGGCAUUUUCUCUAUAUAAGAAGAAAAUGGAGACUCCCUACCCACCCGAUGUAUUUUGUCGGACAGUUUUCUGUAUAUUGCAGUCACCAAUAUAUCCAAAUAUCAUCACCGGCCCAGACGUCGUUCACUCCUUUGAACUGUGCUGGUAGCAGUAAGGUGUCAUCAUUUGAGAUGGUCACAGUAUCCAAUACACUGAAGUCACAGGACUCAAAUUUCAUACAUGUUCACAGCUUUCUUGGCCCCGGGAGUGCUCGGUCUCUGAUCAGCAGGGGCAUUUUCUCUAUAUAAGAAGAAAAUGGAGACUCCCUACCCACCCGAUGUAUUUUGUUGGACAGUUUUCUGUAUAUUGCAGCUACCAAUAUAUCCAAAUAUCAUCACCGGCCCAGACGUCGUUCACUCCUUUGAACUGUGCUGGUAGCAGUAAGGUGUCAUCAUUUGAGAUGGUCACAGUAUCCAAUACACUGAAGUCACAGGACUCAAAUUUCAUACAUGUU